GACGAACGCUGGCGGCGUGCUUAACACAUGCAAGUCGAACGGAAAGGCCCUGCUUUUGUGGGGUGCUCGAGUGGCGAACGGGUGAGUAACACGUGAGUAUCCUGCCCUUGACUUUGGGAUAACUUCAGGAAACUGGGGCUAAUACCGGAUAGGAGCUCCUGCUGCAUGGUGGGGGUUGGAAAGUUUCGGCGGUUGGGGAUGGACUCGCGGCUUAUCAGCUUGUUGGUGGGGUAGUGGCUUACCAAGGCUUUGACGGGUAGCCGGCCUGAGAGGGUGACCGGCCACAUUGGGACUGAGAUACGGCCCAGACUCCUACGGGAGGCAGCAGUGGGGAAUAUUGCACAAUGGGCGGAAGCCUGAUGCAGCAACGCCGCGUGCGGGAUGACGGCCUUCGGGCUGUAAACCGCUUUCGCCUGUGACGAAGCGUGAGUGACGGUAAUGGGUAAAGAAGCACCGGCUAACUACGUG
rnacentral:rRNA from 1 species